rnacentral:rRNA from 1 species
UUCCCGGCCUUGUACACACCGCCCGUCACACCACGAAAGUCGGCAAUACCCGAAGCCGGUGGCCUAACCCGCAAGGGAGGGAGCCGUCGAAGGUAGGGUCGAUGAUUGGGGUG